GAGUUUGAUCUUGGCUCAGAUUGAACGCUGGCGGCAGGCCUAACACAUGCAAGUCGGGCGGUAGGGAGAAGCUUGCUUCUCUUGAGAGCGGCGGACGGGUGAGUAAUGCCUAGGAAUCUGCCUGGUAGUGGGGGAUAACGCUCGGAAACGGACGCUAAUACCGCAUACGUCCUACGGGAGAAAGCAGGGGACCUUCGGGCCUUGCGCUAUCAGAUGAGCCUAGGUCGGAUUAGCUAGUUGGUGAGGUAAUGGCUCACCAAGGCGACGAUCCGUAACUGGUCUGAGAGGAUGAUCAGUCACACUGGAACUGAGACACGGUCCAGACUCCUACGGGAGGCAGCAGUGGGAAUAUUGGACAAUGGGCGAAAGCCUGAUCCAGCCAUGCCGCGUGUGUGAAGAAGGUCUUCGGAUUGUAAAGCACUUUAAGUUGGGUAGGAAGGGCAGUAAAUUAAUACUUUGCUGUUUUGACGUUACCGACAGAAUAAGCACCGGCUAACUCUGUGCCAGCCGCCGCAACG
rnacentral:rRNA from 1 species